rnacentral:rRNA from 1 species
GAUGAACGCUGGCGGCGUGCCUAAUACAUGCAAGUCGAGCGAACGGACGAGAAGCUUGCUCCUCUGAUGUUAGCGGCGGACGGGUGAGUAACACGUGGAUAACCUACCUAUAAGACUGGGAUAACUUCGGGAAACCGGAGCUAAUACCGGAUAAUAUUUUGAACCGCAUGGUUCAAUAGUGAAAGACGGCCUUGCUGUCACUUAUAGAUGGAUCUGCGCUGCAUUAGCUAGUUGGUAAGGUAACGGCUUACCAAGGCAACGAUGCAUAGCCGACCUGAGAGGGUGAUCGGCCACACUGGAACUUAGACACGGUCCAGACUCCUACGGGAGGCAGCAGUAGGGAAUCUUCCGCAAUGGGCGAAAGCCUGACGGAGCAACGCCGCGUGAGUGAUGAAGGUCUUCGGAUCGUAAAACUCUGUUAUUAGGGAAGAACAUAUGUGUAAGUAACUGUGCACUUCUUGACGGUACCUAAUCAGAAAGCCACGGCUAACUACGUG